GUCUACGGCCAUGCUACCCUAAACAAGCCCGAUCCCAUCUGAUCUCAGCAGCUAAGCAGUGUUGGGCCUGGUCAGUACUUGGAUGGGAGGCCACCUGGGAAGACCAGGUGCUGUAGGCA
rnacentral:rRNA from 1 species